GAAAUUGGUAUUGCCCCACCAAACACUGCUGUAAGGUCAUAACACCCUUGUUUGGGAGGUCUUCAUGUGACUUACCAACAGCCAUUUAUUUGUUUCUUCUUAUACAUAUGCAACACACAACUGCAACACCCUCCUUCAACCCUGCUCUCUCUCUCUCUCUCUCACACACACACACACACAGAAUCUGAAGCCACCAUGAAGCAAAUUCCAAUAGUGUUUUUCAUCUUCCUCUUUAAUUGUUUUAGUAACAUCUGCUCGACUGAUCUUUACCACCCUAUCAAGCUAAUUGGGUUGGAGGUCACUGAUGAUGAUGAAGACUCUGUCAACUGUGUGAAGAGAAGGGUGAUUGCAGAGGCUCAUUUGGACUACAUUUACACCCAACAACUCAAGGGUUUACCAUAAAAAGCUGUGUUUGUAAUGUGCGUACGUAUAUGAGUAGUGACAAACAUACAUGUUACUUCAGAUGUAGUAAUAAUUUCACAUUAGGUACGUACGUACGUACAUAUAUAUUGUGAAAUGCGAGUAUUAUUAAACUGGGAAAAAAAAAUAUUUGAGCAUUA